rnacentral:rRNA from 1 species
UACGUAGGGUGCGAGCGUUGUUCGGAAUCAUUGGGCGUAAAGGGCGCGUAGGCGGCCGCCUAAGUCAGACGUGAAAUCCCUCGGCUCAACCGGGGAACUGCGGUCUGAUACUGGGUGGCUUGGAAUUCGGGAGAGGGAUAGCGGAAUUCCGAGGUGUAGCGGUGAAAUGCGCAGAUAUCAGGAGGAACACCAAUUGCGAAGGCAGCUCGCUGGGACGUUACUGACGCUGAGACGCGAAAGCGUGGGGAGCAAACAGG